rfam:Xylella phage Xfas53, complete genome.
GUCGGGAGGGCGGCAGCCAUACAACACCCUGUAAAGGGGAAAGCUGCCCGCCGUCUACUUCCGGUUUUUGACCUCCCGACACCUACGG